rnacentral:rRNA from 1 species
GAUGAACGCUGGCGGCGUGCCUAAUACAUGCAAGUCGAGCGAACAGACGGGGAGCUUGCUCCUCUGACGUUAGCGGCGGACGGGUGAGUAACACGUGGACAACCUACCUAUAAGACUGGGAUAACUUCGGGAAACCGGAGCUAAUACCGGAUAAUAUAUUGAACCGCAUGGUUCAAUAGUGAAAGACGGUUUUGCUGUCACUUAUAGAUGGAUCCGCGCCGCAUUAGCUAGUUGGUAAGGUAACGGCUUACCAAGGCAACGAUGCGUAGCCGACCUGAGAGGGUGAUCGGCCACACUGGAACUGAGACACGGUCCAGACUCCUACGGGAGGCAGCAGUAGGGAAUCUUCCGCAAUGGGCGAAAGCCUGACGGAGCAACGCCGCGUGAGUGAUGAAGGUCUUCGGAUCGUAAAACUCUGUUAUUAGGGAAGAACAAAUGUGUAAGUAACUAUGCACGUCUUGACGGUACCUAAUCAGAAAGCCACGGCUAACUACGUG